AUGAAAAUGAUGAGGGAGAAGAUCAAGAUCAAGAAGAUUGACAACUUGCCUGCAAGGCAAGUGACCUUCUCAAAGAGGAGGAGAGGGAUCUUCAAGAAAGCUGCAGAGUUAUCUGUUCUGUGUGAAUCUGAGGUGGCAGUUGUCAUCUUUUCUGCUACUGGCAAGCUUUUUGAUUAUUCAAGCUCAAGUAUGAAGGAUGUUAUUCAAAGGUACCAAGCGCACAUAAAUGGUGGUGAAAAAUUUAACGAACCGUCUAUUGAGUUGCAGCCAGAGUAUGAAAACCACAUCAGAUUGAGCAAGGAACUUAAGGAGAAGAGCCGCCAGCUGAGGCAGAUGAAAGGAGAGGAUCUUGAAGAGCUGAAUUUUGAUGAGUUGCAGAAGUUAGAACAACUGGUGGAUGCAAGCCUUGGCCGUGUGAUUGAAACUAAGGACGAACGGAUUAUGAGUGAGAUUAUGGCACUUGAAAGAAAGAGAGCUGAGCUUGUAAAAGCCAACAAACAGCUAAGGCAGAGGAUGUUAUUCAGAGGAAAUAUUGGACCUGAGCUUAUGAAGCCGGAGAGGUUGAAUAAUAAUUUUGGUGGUGGAGGAGAAGAAGAAGGUAUGUCAUCUGAAUCUGCUACCUCCACCACCUGCAACAGUGCUCCGAGUCUCUCUCUUGAAGAUGACUCCGACGACGUCACUUUAUCUCUCAAACUGGGGCUUCCAUAAUUUCUCUGGUUAAGAAGUGGAGAGUUGUGAAUGUGUGUAAGAUAAAUAAAGAAAAUCGAGAACUCUCUAUCAAUGCAGCCUGCUCUGGAGACUCUUGUGGACUUUGUAUUUGCUUGGGUUAUCAAUGUAGCGGCAUAGGCCAACCUUACUAAAGGAUUCUAAGCCAUGAAUAUUGGGGAAAAAGACAACUCAUUGGCCACAAAAAAGAAAUGAUAUAGAACAGAUGACGGAAGCAAUCGAAAAUGAGUUGAAGAGACGCGCGCACAAGGGUAAAUUGGACAAACUGCAUAUUUGGACUUCCGAACUCAGAAUCAGAUCCAUGACCCUUCGAUUAGAAUAGAGCGGCGUCAUGAGUAAAGCUCAUUUAUUAGCCAUGAUGUAUGAGCUUUUUCGGGCACCCGAGACCGUUUAGUAGUCCGAAAUCCAGUUUUAAAUUUUUUGGAAACUUUGUUGUUUUCCUAUUUAAAUUCCUUGUUUAAUCCUAGAGUUUUUACGAGUAUUUAAAUAAAUUUUACCCAUGGCUAGAGUUAUGUUUUGUUAUUUCAAUUAUCAUGUAAAUCUUGAAGUUUUCUCA